ensembl:lncRNA
AUGCAUACAGGACAAAUAUUAAAGUACUUCAUGAGAAUCAUCUUGGCUGUCCUGCUAACCUGUGAUUGUGGAAUCUGGAAUGCAUAUGCAAAUGCUUAUUCUGAUUUCCCAGAAACAAGUAUCGAGUUACAGUUUAGCUACAUAGAUGGGCAACUGCAUCACAGAAGACCAAGAAACACAGGUGAUCCAAACACAACUGGCGACCUACAUAAAGACACAUUCAUUCCAGUAAGAUGUUAGAGGUGGAUCAUUUGACAAAGAAACUAAAUCUCAGACCCUAAAGCUCAGCAUCUCUUCAUGGUUGUUUCCAGAGGCAAGGUAAGAAGUGUUUAUUCAUUUUAAAUGUGUAACUGCUGUAAAACUGCCUUUUGAAGUGUGUUUUUAUAUUUAUAAAUUUAGUCAUAUCAUUGUUCUCUGAUUCUAUAUGAAUUUCCUAUUUUACAAAUGAAAGGUGUCUGGAUGCGUCAUAUAAUUGACUUUUGUUCUGAAGAAAUAGAUCGAAGUGAUUUUGACUGACAGACAUCAGUGAGAAACAUGGCCGGUCAAGGUAUAAUAAACUACAAAUAAACUUAUUUUUGGUUUACUGU